AGGGGCAGCAUGGUCUUAGCUUGCUAAGGCUGAUGGCGACCGGCGCACGGGUGAGUAACACGUAUCCAACCUGCCGUCUACUCUUGGCCAGCCUUCUGAAAGGAAGAUUAAUCCAGGAUGGGAUCAUGAGUUCACAUGUCCGCAUGAUUAAAGGUAUUUUCCGGUAGACGAUGGGGAUGCGUUCCAUUAGAUAGUAGGCGGGGUAACGGCCCACCUAGUCAACGAUGGAUAGGGGUUCUGAGAGGAAGGUCCCCCACAUUGGAACUGAGACACGGUCCAAACUCCUACGGGAGGCAGCAGUGAGGAAUAUUGGUCAAUGGGCGAUGGCCUGAACCAGCCAAGUAGCGUGAAGGAUGACUGCCCUAUGGGUUGUAAACUUCUUUUAUAAAGGAAUAAAGUCGGGUAUGCAUACCCGUUUGCAUGUACUUUAUGAAUAAGGAUCGGCUAACUCCGUGCCAGCAGCCGCGGUAAUACGGAGGAUCCGAGCGUUAUCCGGAUUUAUUGGGUUUAAAGGGAGCGUAGAUGGAUGUUUAAGUCAGUUGUGAAAGUUUGCGGCUCAACCGUAAAAUUGCAGUUGAUACUGGAUGUCUUGAGUGCAGUUGAGGCAGGCGGAAUUCGUGGUGUAGCGGUGAAAUGCUUAGAUAUCACGAAGACUCCGAUUGCGAAGGCAGCCUGCUAAGCUGCAACUGACAUUG
rnacentral:rRNA from 1 species